rnacentral:lncRNA from 1 species
CCCUAGUCCCACCCCGAUGGAGUCUGUAUCUCUGGAAGCGAGCCUCAGUCAUCAUGACAGUUUUGAAAGCUCCCCAGGAGAUUCUAAUUUGUAGCCCGGUUUGACAAUUGCUGCUUAGAAUAACACCCUUGCAGGUGCGUUGAUCAUUCAUUGAGUCCCUCUUCUGAGGUUCGUGGGCUGCGGAGGGCCUUGAGGAGCCUGGCAACAGGUAAAGGCUGGCUGUCUCCCAGGCCACAGGGUAUCACCUCUGACCUCCACAGCCCUGGCUGCUCCUCCAACCAGAAGAGAUCCCGGAGAGAAGAGACUAUCGUGGUAAGAGCCAUGUGGAAGCCGCUGGAGGGCCCCCUCUAUCGGCAGAAGAGCAAACCAAAACCAAUACUGCAUUCCUGGCGGAAUUGCAAAGAUGGAUGCUACCAUUGAAGACUUGAAAGAUGAAGGGAUACCGAGUCCUGUCAUAUUUCAACUUAAUUUAGUGGAUUGUACAAUGCAUAAGCAGACGGGUCUUGGAAAAUUACAGUAUAUUUAGUAAUCAGAGAUUAGCCCUGAGCUAACUGCUGCCAAUCCUCUUCUUUUUGCUGAGGAAGACCGGCCCUGAGCUAACAUCCAUGCCCAUCUUCCUCUACUUUAUAUGUGGGAUGUCUACACAGCAUGGCUUGCCAAGCAGUGCCAUAUCCACACCCGGGAUCUGAACUGGCAAACCCUGGGCUGCCAAAGCGGAACGUGUGUACUUAACCACUGCACCACCACCGGGCCCCUAAUUUCCCAUAUUUCCAAUGGGCUCUUUGUUGUUUGUCCCACUCUUAUUUCAUGACCUGCUUUUAUUGUUUUGUGGUUGCCAUUUUGCUCUGAUUUCUUCAAGGACUUUAAAGAUCCCUACUUUAAAGGGCUUUUCAAAUUGCUCUAAAACUUUGCUUCUUCAGCUAUGGGUUCUCCUGUGUGCCGGGUUUGUUUGCUCCCUCAGUGCCCUGUUAUUCCCGGCUGUGGGGUUAUCUGGAGAUUCUGUAAAACCCAAGGCUAGUGGCCUCGGCUUGGUCUGUCUCUGGCUGGGCUCCAGACCAGGGUUUUCUCAGAAGUGUCCAGUGUGGGCCUCCGCGUUGUGUGAGUGACACAUUUCUGGGACAGUCCCUUUGAGCUUGGUGGCUCUGUUGAGGGCCCAACCACAGGCAUGUGGCUUUGUUUUUUGCCAUGACCUUGAAGGUGGAUGUAGCUGCCCUGGUUUAUGUUCCCCAGCUGGCAGCACAGGUCCCCAGGCCAGCCAGGCUCAGGCUCCAGCCCGGCUUAGCGUGUGCACCAUGGCCACACCCUCCACACUCACCCCUGCUCUCUCCCCAGCCCCCGGGGCUGCCAGCCUCGGCCCCUUCUCUCCCUGCAGCCUCCUGUCUCCUUUCUUUUAAGGAGUAGUCUCCAUUUCUUGUCUACCAACGUGGCCCUCUCAUGUCAUUCAUUUUUAAAAAUUUUGUGUUUGGAGCAGAAGGAGAUGGUUUCAACCAUCUUUAACCAGAAGCAUCUUUUCGCCACGUGAGAUAGAGCUGCUGUUACCUAGAUGUUCCACAAGCAGACCUGUAGAAAUGGACACACCCAGAACCAUAUGUUGUUCCUUGCCUUGAAUUCUAUCGCUUCACGUCAGGCCUGCCUGGACCUGUUGGUGACCGGGGUCUGGCUGCGCCUGGGGCAACAGGAUAAAGGGGAAAGCAACCUGUAGUUUUUAUCAAGAGUCAAGUUUGAAGCGUGUA